rnacentral:rRNA from 1 species
GACGAACGCUGGCGGCGUGCUUAACACAUGCAAGUCGAACGGUGAGGCCCUGCUGUUGUGGGGUGCUCGAGUGGCGAACGGGUGAGUAACACGUGAUUCACCUGCCCUUGACUUUGGGAUAACUUCAUGAGACUGAUGCUAAUACCGGAUAGGAGCUCCUGCUGCAUGGUGGGGGUUGGAUAGUUUCGGCGGUUGGGGAUGGACCCGCGUCUUAUCAGCUUGUUGGUGGGGUAGUGGCCUACCAAGGCCUUGACGGGUAGCCGGCCUGAGAGGGUGACCGGCCACACUGGGACUGAGAUACGGCCCAGACUCCUACGGGAGGCAGCAGUGGGGAAUAUUGCACAAUGGGCGGAAGCCUGAUGCAGCAACGCCGCGUGCGGGAUGACGGCCUUCGGGUUGUAAACCGCUUUCGCCAGUGACGAAGCGUAAGUGACGGUAAUUGGUAAAGAAGCACCGGCUAACUACGUG